GACCCUAUAACUCAGUCGGUUAGAGUGUGGAGCUAAUACGAAUACUAAGUGUUACUCCAAAGUCGCCAGUUCGAGCCUGGUUAGGGUCA